rnacentral:misc_RNA from 1 species
GAAAUGCGAUAAGUAGUGUGAAUUGCAGAAUUCAGUGAAUCAUCGAAUCUUUGAACGCACAUUGCGCCCCUUGGUAUUCCAUGGGGCAUGCCUGUUCGAGCGUCAUCUACACCCUCAAGCUCUGCUUGGUGUUGGGCGUCUUUGUCCCGCCCCCGCGCGCGGACUCGCCCCAAAUUCAUUGGCAGCGGUCCUUGCCUCCUCUCGCGCAGCACAUUGCGCUUCUCGAGGUGUUGCGGCCCGCGUCCAGAAAGCAAUCGUUACCGUCUUUGACCUCGGAUCAGGUAGGGAUACCCGCUGAACUUAAGC